rnacentral:rRNA from 1 species
UGCCAGCCGCCGCGGUAAUACGGAGGGUGCAAACGUUGCUCGGAUUUACUGGGCGUAAAGGGAGCGCAGGCGGCUUGUUAAGUCUGAUGUGAAAGCCCGGGGCUCAACCUCGGAACUGCAUUGGAUACUGGCAAGCUUGAGUAUGUUAGAGGAGAGCGGAAUACCUGGUGUAGCGGUGAAAUGCGUUGAGAUCAGGUGGAACACCGGUGGCGAAGGCGGCUCUCUGGGGCAUUACUGACGCUGAGGCUCGAAAGCGUGGGGAUCAAACAGGAUUAGAUA